ACGGGUGAGUAAUACGUAGGAAUCUGCCCUAGAGUGGGGGAUAACCCGAGGAAACUCGGGCUAAUACCGCAUAAUCUCUGAGGAGCAAAGCCGGGGACCUUCGGGCCUGGCGCUUUAGGAUGAGCCUACGUCGGAUUAGCUAGUUGGUAGGGUAAAGGCCUACCAAGGCAACGAUCCGUAGCUGGUCUGAGAGGAUGAUCAGCCACACUGGGACUGAGACACGGCCCAGACUCCUACGGGAGGCAGCAGUGGGGAAUAUUGGACAAUGGGCGCAAGCCUGAUCCAGCAAUGCCGCGUGUGUGAAGAAGGCCUUCGGGUUGUAAAGCACUUUUAGCGAGGAGGAAAGGCUUAGGGUUAAUACCCCUGAGAGUUGACGUUACUCGCAGAAAAAGCACCGGCAAACUCUGUGCCAGCAGCCGCGGUAAUACAGAGGGUGCAAGCGUUAAUCGGAAUUACUGGGCGUAAAGCGCACGUAGGCGGAUAUUUAAGUCGGGUGUGAAAUCCCCGGGCUCAACCUGGGAACUGCAUCCGAUACUGAAUGUCUAGAGUAUGAUAGAGGAAAGUGGAAUUCCCGGU
rnacentral:rRNA from 1 species